rnacentral:rRNA from 1 species
UUGAACGCUGGCGGCAUGCCUUACCCAUGCAAGUCGCACGGCAGCACGGGUGCUUGCCCCUGGUGGCGAGUGGCGAACGGGUGAGUAAUACAUCGGAACAUGUCCUGUAGUGGGGGAUAGCCCGGCGAAAGCCGGAUUAAUACCGCAUACGAUCUACGGAUGAAAGCGGGGGACCUUCGGGCCUCGCGCUAUAGGGUUGGCCGAUGGCUGAUUAGCUAGUUGGUGGGGUAAAGGCCUACCAAGGCGACGAUCAGUAGCUGGUCUGAGAAGACGACCAGCCACACUGGGACUGAGACACGGCCCAGACUCCUACGGGAGGCAGCAGUGGGGAAUUUUGGACAAUGGGCGAAAGCCUGAUCCAGCAAUGCCGCGUGUGUGAAGAAGGCCUUCGGGUUGUAAAGCACUUUUGUCCGGAAAGAAAUCCUUGGCCCUAAUACGGUCGGGGGAUGACGGUACCGGAAGAAUAAGCACCGGCUAACUACGUG